UACCUUGGGAUUAAACAACAUAUUUUUCCUUUAAGGAUAAGAAAUUUGAGAAUAUUUAAAAAAUUGUUUUGGUUAAGGAUUUAAAAUUUGUGAAAUUUCAUUGAGAAAGAGAAACUUUUUACAUCACCUACUGUAACAACAUAAACAGCAGUUAAACUGUGGAGGAAGAAGAAGUUAUCCCACCUUAGGUGUAACUUGAUACUUGACUGAUUUUGGUAAUCUUUGUGUGUUACAAUUAGUGGCCUAGGAAACACCCUAAAUAAUUUAUGAAUUUCAUGUUUAAUUCAUAUUUAAGUAUUGUACUGGCCUUGAUAUCUCUUCUAGUACCACCGCCAAAACAGAGUACUGUUUUGAAGACAACGUAAUAACAGAGAGCCAUUAUCUCAGCCUUCUUCACAACUGUAGGUAAGACUUCACCUCAGUUUAAAGCUCUGUAAAAGGAGCAUUAAUGAAGGCAAUUAGAAGUUUCUGUCCAAUAGAAUAGGAGAAUUUCCGUCCAAGGCAAAAGUAGCUCCACUGAAAAACUACCUGCCUUGCACCUCUAUGUUAUACUUGACCUUUAGGCAGAUUAUUCUAAACAUCCUAAGCCUUUUUGAUAAAUAUUUAAUUUUUUAACAUUUUGAUUACCAUAUAAUACUUGUACAUGUAAGUUUCCAAGAUAGCUGGGAUGAUAGGUGAAGAAGCAUCAUGUUGUGUUUUUGUGCAACAGUCACUGGACUAACUUGUGAAGGUGGAUGUGAGGCCAAGACCAAGGCAUGUAUGAAACAUGGAAUGUAUCUAAUGAGAAUCACAGAUUCUCUAUCAGCUGUGACUAUGCCUGGGACUAUGCCUAGCUGAAGCCGAGAACUGGGAACAAAAUCUUGGUUAUACCGUUGGAGGAAGGAGUCAACAACAUAAGCUAUCAUGUGCUAUUUCUCAAUGUGCACAUUAACUAGAAGCUGGAACUAGGAGUGCAGCACAGUCUUGUACCCUGGUACUGUGAUAUAGAAUGUAGGUAUCCCAAACAAUGACUUAAUUUCUAGGCAAAAUACACAACCCUGGAAUUAUUAGAAUUUUUCUUUAGCUUAAAAUAUUUUCUGUUUUGAACCAUUGGUUAUUUGGACACAUGAUGCCUACCUAUUUGGAUUUUUCGAAUUUCCUUCUGAUUUUCCUUUCUAAUUUCAUUCAUUUGCAAUCCAAAAAAUAUCUGUUCUAUUACUUUAGAAGUUCUAAAUUAUUGAGCCUUGUUUGAUGACCUAAAACAUGGUAUAAUCUGGAGUACAUUGUAUGUGCUGAAGAGAAUGUACUGUUUCUGGAUGCAAUAUUUUAUACAUAUAAAAUAGGAAUAGUUUGAUAAUGGUGUUCAAGUCUUACACAUCCUUGUUGAUUUGCUCUCUCUUAUUACAAGGUGUAUGCCAUCAUUAUUAUCCCCAACUGUUACUUUGAAAUUAUCCAGAGGGCUCCAAAAUGGCAGAAUAGGGAAGGAGCUCACUGAUGGUCCAGGAAAAGAUAGUUUAAUAAAAGUGGAGAUUCUAUAGUCUCA
rnacentral:lncRNA from 1 species